UUAGUAGAGUGGCGCACGGGUGAGUAAUGCAUAGGAACGUACCUUUGGGUGGGGGACAACUCCGGGAAACCGGUGCUAAUACCGCAUAAUCUGGCAACAGUAAAGAUGGCCUCUACUUGUAAGCUAUCGCCCAAUGAUCGGCCUAUGUCCCAUUAGUUUGUUGGUGAGGUAAUGGCUCACCAAGACUACGAUGGGUAGCUGGUCUGAGAGGAUGAUCAGCCACACUGGAACUGAGACACGGUCCAGACUCC
rnacentral:rRNA from 1 species